UAUUAUUUUAAUUCCUUGUUUUUAUUGUUGUGAUUAUUAUUAUUAUUUUUAAUGACUAUUUUACUUCAUUUUGUGUAAAGCACUUUGAAUUACCACUGUGUAUGAAAUGUGCUAUAUAAAUAAACUUGCCGUGCCUAAUAAGUAUACUUGCACUGCUAAUUAAUAACAUAUAUGGGAGGUGAACAAGGUACAGUAUGCAUAUUUUCAUUAAUAAUUAUAAAUAAUUUGGUGGUAUCUACCUCGUCUAUCUACCAACUUGGCUAUAGUCUGCUAUUUUAAACUGAGCAUGAGCAAUAGAAAUAACUAGCCUACUUUAGGUGAGGAAUUGCACUUCAUAUCACCCAUACAUUUGCAUUUACAGUCAAAGUCAAAGCCAUUAAUUUAUCCAGUGCUGGCUAUAAAAAUAAGCAGCGGUGUAUUCCCACAUAUUAUUUCAAACUACUGAAUAAUGCAACAUCUUCACAUGUAUCUACCAUAACAAUUAUUAAUGGCGGUCGUAUGCUAACUCCUACGUUACGGUUCACUGUAACACCCCUGACACUUUCACAUAAAGAAAAGAAACACCCUCAUUAUAUCUCGACCGCAGUCACGGCCGCGAGCGCACAGCGCAUCUUCGCGCGUUGCACACCUCCACUUUCCCGCGUCUCCUGUCAUUUCGGCGGGCUCUUACAGGAGGAACGGUGUCCCCGCCUGCGCCGCGAGUUGACUCAUCCUAUCCUUCCUACGGCGGUGACACUGGAGCAGAUGGUGCUGGUCUCGAAAGCCCACGACGACGCUCUCUGAUUGAAGACGGUAGCACUGUCAGAGUCCGGAUAAAAGAGAAGCUGAUGGCAGCAAAUCUACCAGAGUCUACACAGCCAAGAGUGGAUUGUAAAGAAGAAGGGAUUACAAUGCAGUCAAAUGAGGAGAGAAGAAAACAGAGAAUGACAUCACAGACAGAGUGGAGUGAGGAAGAGGAUGAUCACCCACCUCCUGCAAAAGGGCCAUAAUAUCCCCACUGGAGGAACUUUUUGCAGCAGAUGAUGAAUUGAAAAUGAAAUCCACAGAGAGCACGACAUUGUCUAUUGAGAACAAAGUGGAUGCAGAGCUAAAGAUGUACCAAGACAUGCCACCUACAUUGACAUCCGAUUGGUGGUGGAAAGAAAAAAAAAAAACUUCUCCUUUCCUGUUAGACAUUACCUCUUCAUAUUUAUGUGUGCAGGCCUCUUCAACCCCAAGUGAAAGGGUUUUUUCCACUGCUGGAGACACUAUUUGCCCCGAAAGAUCUCGUAUAAUCUAAGAAAAGGCGAAUGUGUUGAUUUUUUCUAAAUAAAAACUGUUAAGCACUGGUGAUAACAGUAGCAAACCCCUACAUUUGCAUGCUUACAAACAAGUCCACACUUUAUUUGGUUGCAGGGCAGCCAACAAGGGUUAUUGUAUUACAAUUUUAAAUGUAACAGUUUAUUUAAUUUUAUUUUUUGAACAUGUGUAGCCAAGCA